rnacentral:miRNA from 1 species
CGGUUUUCACCGUGAUCUAAGG